rfam:Otolemur garnettii contig000575, whole genome shotgun sequence.
GUGCCUGUGGCUCAAAAGGGUAAGGUGCUGGCUUCAUAUGCCAGAGGUGGCAGGUUCAAACCCAGCCUGGCCA